GGGAAAGUUCGUGCCUUACGUGCUGAGGUCUGAAUUGGAAACCGGGUGUGGUCCUGUUACAAACACCACACUCUCGAUGUCACAUUCAUGAAACCCACCUGCACCACGGGCCUCGGGCCUGGGAGAGGCACCAAGGCACAAGAGAUUUCUCCUUGAGCAUCUAUCUUGCGCGCCCUGCCCAAGAUGCCCAGCGGACACGGCCUCCUUGACCCUCACUCUCUGGAGGCGGGGGCUGGGCAGGUGCCCGGGGGGGCAAUGUCUCCGGGAGUCCUGGACCCGCUCUCCCUUGGUGUCCCUCACGCUCUCCAGAGUUUCCUCUCCUCCGGGCCUGCUCCUACCAUCUUGUUCCAGGCUCUUCUUCCCUGGAUUGUGCUGUUCCCGGACUUUGGCCUCCACCUCCCCUCCUCUCCUCAGCCAGGAAUUCAACCACGGCAGCAUCAAGCGCUCCUCUGACUGCAGACCUAUUAUGUGUCAGGCACAUGCUGGGACCGCAGCUGUGGGCCAGGUGACAGUGGCUGGGUCUGGCCGUCUUGUACCCCUCGUGAUGCCUAAAUUCUCCUUGGUUGGCUGCAGGGCCCGGGGCAAGUGCCCAGGGACCCUCAUCCUGUGUUCUCGGGACACUGGCAUCCCAGGGCUCUUCAUCUGGGUGGUCCACGGAUGGUUCACAGCAUCUGGGAGCCUGAAACCGUCUGCUCAUUUUCUGUGUGUCCUCUCUCUGGGGAGAGGUUCUCAGCUUUCAUCAGGAGCUCAAAGGCGCCCAAGGCCGAGGGAGGACCAAGCAUUGUUCCUGCCCACUCCCCUGAGGGGGCGGACAUUCACACCUCAGGAUGUGACGAUGUGUCUUCACUGGCCACUGUCCUGCCCAAGCCCCUGACGCCAGCCCAGACCCCACCCCCACUGAACAGCCUGAGCACCCCAGAGCUCCCUCCUGACACCUCCACCUGGAAGCCCCCCGACCCCCAGCAUAUCCCACUCCCCUCCCUCCUCUCCUCUGCCAUCUCCCUCCCACUCUCCUGGGGGCCCCAGCACUCUGGUCCCCUAGGGGUGUUCGGUCCUCAGUGGGGUCCACGGCUCCCUCUGCUCAAGACCUCUCAGCCUCUGCCCGCCGCUCCCCGCACCCCACACGGGGGUCCUGCCUCUCCUCAGCUGCCACGGGGUCUUCUUGGAAGAACACACCGGAUCUUCCUUCCCUCUCUCCUGCUGGGAGAACGCCUCUGCCCAGCACUGCCCCGCCCCCGUGGCUGCAGAGUCAAGUGGGGGCUCCUGAGUCCUGUACACGGUCCCCCGCCAUGGGGCCCCGCUCCCUUGCAGCCCCGUCCUCCCAUGUCCCUUGGUCCCCCUCAGCCCAGCCGUCCUGGAUCAACAGCUCCCAGGACCCUCCAGUCCCCUCGUGGCCAGAGCCAGGUGUGGGUCCACGGCUGGGUCAGUUUGUCAGAGACGCGUCAGAGGGGCUGCUCAGGCCGCCCCCGCCUGGAAACGCGCAGCCUGUCCUCAAGCACAUUCCAGACGGGCUUGCACCUUCUCCAGGGAACGGGACAGGUGGAGUGUGUCGAAUCUGUCUGCAGGUGCGCUGACCCCCUGACCUUGCCGCAUGGACUCCAGGCACUUGGGUCACAGGGGCCUGUGUUGAGGCCCGAGAGAAAUGCAAGAGCAUGCGGGGUGGGGCAGGAGGAUGGAAGGGGGACCAGUGGUGUGAUGAUUACGGAGCUGGCACUGAUCAUAAACCAUAAUCAAUUUAAAACCCAUUUUCUAGGUAUUAAACUUCACUACCGUUUGAUACCCCUGGUCCUGAGCGUGGGAAGAGCUGCCUCUGCCUGAGCCACCCCCUCGGACAUGCCUGGUCUGGGGCUGGUCAGGGCGCCAGCGGACACCAGCAUCUCCCACGAGGGUGCUGGGGCCUGGGGCGGGUGGAGCUCAGGCCUGAAACCGUGGCUGGGGGAGCUGGUUCUGGGGCCCCCACUGGCCUGCAAAGCCUCAAGUGAAGCUGGUGAGGUGGUCUGGCCCUCGGCACCCAGGAGAGACCCUUCUGGAGGCGGAGUGGGCAGAGCCUGCAGCCCCAGGGCUGUUCAGUGCCUAGUAGCCAGUCUGUGCGAUGGCACAGAGGCACAAGCCAGCUCUGUGAGGCCUCAAGCAGCCCCAGAGGAGGAACUGAAAGGGGGCCAGGCGCGCCGAGAGAGUCCAGAGGGGGAGGAGAUAUUGUCCUCUGGAGCAUAACCACCCCCAGCUGGGCUGCAUUAGAGUCUCCCGGCUCACAGACAUCCUGCUCCAGAGACAGGCGCGGCUUCCCCCCGCCAGGGUACCCACCAUGCCCUAGGCCGGGGCCACCUGCUUUCUGCAGUGAUCCCGGGUCCUCGCUAGUUUGGGGAGUCCUCACGGCCGAAUCUCACAAAUGAAGAAGAGGCUCGACACGAUCGAGUGACUUGCUGAAGACGUCACACGAAACAGCUUGAGGCCCCCUUGGAAGGUGCACCAGGCUGCGAGUCAGGGAGGAAGCGGUCUCUCCAGGGUCCACGGAUGGUUCCAGAAACUUUUUCUUCCUGGGAACUUCUCUGAGCCGGUCAGUGUCGUGGGUGCAGAGACUCAGAGUGGACAGCAGAAAGGCCGUGCCCCGACCGCGGCGCCCGUGGAGGGAGAGAGGACGCUGUUUCCAUUCUGUGGGCCUUUCCACGUGCCCAGCCUGGCGUGAGCCCUUUGCAAAAGCGGCCACAUUCAGUCCCGUUGACAAGUGUCCAGGUGAGACCACAGCCCUCAUUUGCUGACGAAGAAGAAGCCGGGCAUGGCGAGGGCAGGUGAUGGCUCAUGGCCACACAACUCGGAAGUGGUGGAGCCGACAUUGGAGCCAGGCAGCCCCUGCUCAGGUUUCCCAGCUCCCAAACCCUGUGGGAUGCUGGGAGCAGGCAAACAGGAGAGAGCAGAGCAUCCCGGGUUACAGAGAGCUCUGGGCACGGUGCAGAGUGUCAGCGCUGCUCUGCUGCCUCAGCGGGGCAUCAGGGUUGGCCUCUCAGAGGAGGCAGCUUUUGAGCAGAGACCACGAUGAAGAGGAAGGGUGAGCCCCUCUGAUGUGGUGGAGGAGAGAUCCAGGGGGAGGGAGCCCCAAGGAGAAAGACCCCGCCAGGCUUGAUGGAGUGAGGGGGCCGAGGGGUGAGUGCAGGAGCGUGGCCCGGGGAGGGCCGGCGGUGGGAGGGCAGGCAGGUCGUGGCCAUGAGCCUGUCCACCUUGGCAGAGCUGCCAGGGGCGGCUUCCAAAUUCAGACCUGUUGACACCUCCCAGGGCAGCCCUGUCUCUGGCCGGACGCCUGGCUUCUUGGUGGCACGUUCUGUGACCCGUCCUCUGCAAACUCCCAGCCUCAUGACCCCCCCCAGGGUCCCAUCGCUCGCUCCACCGGCACAGGCCCGGCCCCCCACUCUCCAGGGCCCUGGCAUUAAAAGAAGAAUCUAGACCCAGCCGAACUCCACCAGGGGCCCCUCUGAUUUCAUCUCCUCCCCCGUCCCUCAUCCCUCCUCACCCAUCCCCAAGGCCACCUCCUCCAGGGAGCCUGCCAGGACCCCAGGGGAAGGCGUCUGCUGCCUUCUUUGGGCUCCCACAGCAUUUUCACCAGGAUCAUCGCCCUCUACUGCCAAGUGUCCCUCUCUGGGACCACGGUCCGCCUCUGCUUGUGGAGUGAGUGUUUCUCUGGGGUCGCUGAGGCAGCAGCAGCUGGGAGUGGCCCUCUUGUAGCCCCCAUGGUGCCUAAAUACCCCUCUGUUGGCUGCAGGGCCCAGGGACUCUCACCCUGAACUCUGGGGACACUGGCAUUCUGGCAGCCGGGACUCUGUGUUCCCGUUGUCCCCUACCAUCCCCAACAGACACAGCAAAGCCGGGCACCCAGACCUGGUGGGAGGCCUGGGCAGUGGAGGUCUUUGGGGGUCUUCUCUGGGUCCUCUCUCUCCUCACAGGUGGAGGGCGCUCCGUGGAGAGCCAGAGGUCACCCUCGGCCCCGAGGCAGUGGCACUGGCCCGCGAGGGUCCAUGCUGCAAGCCUGGAGGAUGGCCAAGGGGCGGGCAGAGGUGGGAGAUGCCCCAGGGACUGGCAGUGACCCGGUCAGAGGUCUGGAGGCCUGACCAGGCGAGGCUGCAGGCUGUGACCGGUUCACACUGGGAAUCAGAAAGACGUGAGUGGGGCCCGACAUGCCAGAGGUCAGGAAGAUGCUGACCUUCUGGCCUGGGAGACCGAGUGCAGGUGCCUGGCGCGGGGCCGGCAGGAGGAAUCGCCACCAUUUCUCGAGAGCCUUCCGUGCGUCCAGUGUCUCCCUGGACACUUGUCCCUGUUGCCUUGAAUGCUCCCACAACCCCCAAAGUGCUCUUGUUUGGGUCACCCGGAGGGAAGGGGAAGAACGAUGUGGGGCCCAGGCCCCCAGCUCUGAGCGGGAGUUCUUUCUCCCCUGUGGUCCUGGGAGCCCCAGCCAGAUGGCGGCGGGUCUGGGUUUGGACAGCUGAGUCAGGCACCUGCGAGGCCUCUGGGAGUUGGGAUUGUGGGUCUGGAACCCGGUAGUGAGGGGAGGGUUGGAGGCAAGAACCCCAUUGAUGGGGCAGGCUCGGUGACCCCAAGGAGAGGGGUCACGCAUCACGCCUCAUUGGAACCAUUGGUCAACCCAUCCUGAAGAUGGGUAAACUGAGGCACCAGGUCUCAGGGCUGCAAUCCAGCUCAGAGCCACGGCGGGUGCCCCAGCAGCUGCUGCACACAGGGCCCUUGGUUUAUUCCCAUUGGUCGAGCAGCUCCGGAGACGGCUCGGGGUUUUGUAGGAACCAUGACAAACUGGUUGAGAGUCUCACAAAUUAUUUGAACUCGAUUACCAGGAAGGAGGAAAAAUGAGUCAGAGCUUGUGGUGCGGAAUGGCAGGGAUGACGCGUCGGGAGGCGUGGGCAGCUUGUUUCUCCUCCCUUCUCAGGGCCCCGAGAAGGCAGCUCCAGCUGGGAAGGUGGGAAGGACGAGGCCGAGAGCCAGGAGAGCCUGCAGGGAGGACAAAGGCGGGGUUCUGGCCCCUUGAGUGGACAAGGACACACGGGGGGAGUUGGAAGAUCCUGCUGACCCCAGAUCUUCUUCGUUUUGUAGAAAUUUCCCCUCAUGCGAAGGCAUGAUGGAUGCUGAGCUUGAUCCCCAUCAUGUACUGAGCCCUGACCCUGCUCACACACUGAGCCCUGAUCCCCCUCAUGUACCGAGCCCUGGCCCUGGCCACACACUGAGCCCUGGUCCCCCUCAUGUACUGAGCCCUGGCUCUGGUCACACACUGAGCCCUGAUCCUCCUCAUGUACUGAGCUCUGACCCUGGUCACACCCUGAGCUCUGACUCUGUCACACCCUGAGCCUUCUUGAUGGCCACACGCUGAGGUCUGAUGCCAGUCGCAUGCUGAACCCUGACCUGGUCUCAGGGUGAGUCUUGAUCCUUUCUUCCAAAACCCCCCACAGAGAUCACAACUGGCCACGCGGAUGAGACAGACAUUCCAGACACAGUUAAAUAACAGCACAAGGCUGGAUCAAUCUGUGCUCAGGAAGUCCUGGAAGUCAGUGUUCACCAUCUGUUCAGGACAACCCAGGAGGGCUUCCUGGAGGAGGAUCAGUGGUGUGGAAGCUGAGGCCUGAGGGACACCAAGAACACCCAGCCUGGUGGCCUGCCUCAGUUUCCCCUCCUCUGGAGCCCCCAGGCCACAGUAACCCUCCUCCCAAAGCGCUCGGGUCUGAAAUGAGCAAGAGGCUGCUGGAGUCUCUGCAGGGUCAGCCCGGGGAAGCGCGAGAGGACUCUCAGCCCGACGAAGAAGAGGUGAUCUGUUCGCUUCCCCGGGGGUUUACGGCUAAGGAGGACCCCCCCACUUUCCCAUGGCCCCCUCCUGGCAAAACUGAAGUCCUCGCUGGGUCCAUGGAGGUUUCAUCCUUUGCUGGUCACCGGCACAGAGGUAACUUUUGUCAUUUGCGGUCACGGGGGUGAGUCCUGCCAUGGUGGGCAGACCCUCGAGCCGACUGCAGUGCCAGUGGCUGUGGGUUUUUGCCUUGACAUCUCUGAGCCUCAGUUUCCUCGUCCGUACAAUGG
ensembl:lncRNA